UACGUAGGUGGCAAGCGUUAUCCGGAUUUAUUGGGCGUAAAGGGAACGCAGGCGGUCUUUUAAGUCUGAUGUGAAAGCCUUCGGCUUAACCGGAGUAGUGCAUUGAAACUGGGAGACUUGAGUGCAGAAGAGGAGAGUGGAACUCCAUGUGUAGCGGUGAAAUGCGUAGAUAUAUGGAAGAACACCAGUGGCGAAAGCGGCUCUCUGGUCUGUAACUGACGCUGAGGUUCGAAAGCGUGGGUAGCAAACAGG
rnacentral:rRNA from 1 species